GACGAACGCUGGCGGCGUGCCUAAUACAUGCAAGUAGAACGCUGAAGAGAGGAGCUUGCUCUUCUUGGAUGAGUUGCGAACGGGUGAGUAACGCGUAGGUAACCUGCCUUGUAGCGGGGGAUAACUAUUGGAAACGAUAGCUAAUACCGCAUAACAAUGGAUGACACAUGUCAUUUAUUUGAAAGGGGCAAUUGCUCCACUACAAGAUGGACCUGCGUUGUAUUAGCUAGUAGGUGAGGUAACGGCUCACCUAGGCGACGAUACAUAGCCGACCUGAGAGGGUGAUCGGCCACACUGGGACUGAGACACGGCCCAGACUCCUACGGGAGGCAGCAGUAGGGAAUCUUCGGCAAUGGGGGCAACCCUGACCGAGCAACGCCGCGUGAGUGAAGAAGGUUGUCGGAUCGUAAAGCUCUGUUGUAAGUCAAGAACGAGUGUGAGAGUGGAAAGUUUACACUGUGACGGUAGCUUACCAGAAAGGGACGGCUAACUACGUG
rnacentral:rRNA from 1 species